rnacentral:rRNA from 1 species
GAUGAACGCUGGCGGCGUGCCUAAUACAUGCAAGUCGAGCGAACAGACGAGGAGCUUGCUCCUCUGACGUUAGCGGCGGACGGGUGAGUAACACGUGGAUAACCUACCUAUAAGACUGGGAUCACUUCGGGAAACCGGAGCUAAUACCGGAUAAUAUAUUGAACCGCAUGGUUCAAUAGUGAAAGACGGUUUUGCUGUCACUUAUAGCUGGAUCCGCGCCGCAUUAGCUAGUUGGUAAGGUAACGGCUUACCAAGGCAACGAUGCGUAGCCGACCUGAGAGGGUGAUCGGCCACACUGGAACUGAGACACGGUCCAGACUCCUACGGGAGGCAGCAGUAGGGAAUCUUCCGCAAUGGGCGAAAGCUUGACGGAGCAACGCCGCGUGAGUGAUGAAGGUCUUCGGAUCGUAAAACUCUGUUAUUAGGGAAGAACAAAUGUGUAAGUAACUAUGCACGUCUUGACGGUACCUAAUCAGAAAGCCACGGCUAACUACGUG